rnacentral:snRNA from 1 species
AUCGCUUCUCCGCCUUUUGGCUAAGAUCAAGUGUAGUAUUUAUCUAACAAAUAUUUAGAGACCUGCUAAUUGCAAAGCACAAUGUAAGGUGCUAUGGAUUCAAAAGUGAACCUGCUCUGCACAUCUAAGAUUUUUUUUUGGAGCUCCUAGAUAAGUUUAAGAAUCUGA